ACGGCUCAGUAACACGUGGAUAACUUGCCCUCAGGUCUGGCAUAACCCCGGGAAACUGGGGAUAAUUCCGGAUAACGCAUAUGUGCUGGAAUGCUUUAUGCGUCAAAGGUCCUCCACCUGAGGAUGGGUCUGCGGCCUAUCAGGUAGUAGCGGGUGUAAUGUACCUGCUAGCCGACGACGGGUACGGGUUGUGAGAGCAAGAGCCCGGAGAUGGAUUCUGAGACAUGAAUCCAGGCCCUACGGGGCGCAGCAGGCGCGAAAACUUUACAAUGCGGGAAACCGUGAUAAGGGGACACCGAGUGCCAGCAACAUUUGCUGGCUGUCCACGUGUGUAAACUACACGUGUUAGCAAGGGCCGGGCAAGACCGGUGCCAGCCGCCGCGGUAACACCGGCGGCCCGAGUGGUGAUCGUUAUUAUUGGGUCUAAAGGGUCCGUAGCCGGUUUGGUCAGUCUUCCGGGAAAUCUGUCAGCUCAACUGAUAGGCUAUCGGGGGAUACUGCUAGACUUGGAACCGGGAGAGGUAAGAGGUACUACAGGGGUAGGAGUGAAAUCUUGUAAUCCCUGUGGGACCACCUGUGGCGAAGACGUCUUACCAGAACGGGUUCGACGGUGAGGGACGAAAGCUGGGGGCACGAACCGGAUUAGAUACCCGGGUAGUCCCAGCCGUAAACGAUGCUCGCUAGGUGUCAUGCAUGGUACGACCGUGUAUGGUGCCGUAGGGAAGCCGUGAAGCGAGCCACCUGGGAAGUACGGCCGCAAGGCUGAAACUUAAAGGAAUUGGCGGGGGAG
rnacentral:rRNA from 1 species